CUGCACCGGAGAAGAGCGCGCUAGGAGAGUGGUGUGACUUACCCACAAGCUAACACUUCAGAGAAGGGGCAAGAAGAGACAGGAAGAGGGAGGAGAUAUGUACCACUUUCCUGGACCAAUGUAGAUCUUCAGUUACAAAGCUCUGGAAGCACAGGAUUUAUUACUGGCAGUGAGGAAGCGAGGCCUUUAUUUUGAGCACGUGAUGACAGGUUGCCAGCUACCACUUUCACAGGCAAAACCAUCAACCAAUUUGGAGAGCUGGUCCCCAUCAUUUCCCUCGACAUCCCACUCCUCAUAGCCUAUAUGCCCACCCCUCUGGGCCAUGUGGGGAGUGGCUGGCACUGGCUUAAGCUCAUAGGCUGCCUGGCUAAAUGAGGAAUGCUAAAUACCAUUUGUGCUGAGUAUAAGGAUCAUGGCUUGCUUGUGGGAGAGCAGAGGGAGCCUGUCCUCUCACGACUCUCCAGACACAGGGAAAAACUGCAGUGUAGGCCUGCGAGAGACUGGGACUGCGUCCCUAAUUCUCAACACCAAACUGCUAUUAAACCCAGAAAAACUAUAACCAUUUUAUGCAUUUCAC